rnacentral:rRNA from 1 species
UACGAAGGGGGCUAGCGUUGCUCGGAAUUACUGGGCGUAAAGGGCGCGUAGGCGGAUAGUUUAGUCAGAGGUAAAAGCCCAGGGCUCAACCUUGGAACUGCCUUUGAUACUGGCUAUCUUGAGUACGGGAGAGGUGUGUGGAACUCCGAGUGUAGAGGUGAAAUUCGUAGAUAUUCGGAAGAACACCAGUGGCGAAGGCGGCACUCUGGGCCAGUACUGACGCUGAGGAGCGAAAGCGUGGGGAGCGAACAGG